rnacentral:rRNA from 1 species
UAUUUUGACUAUACGAAGGUAUUGAAAUAAGACUUUAAAUGGGUGCUAAGAGAAUGGUUUAACAAUUAUAAGCUUUCUUUAAUUAAAUAAUUGAAUUUAAUUUUUUUGUGAAGAAGCAAUAAUGAAAAUUAGGGACAAGAAGACCCUAUGAAUUUUAUAUAUUAAAAAACAUUAUUAAUGUUUUUUAAUAUUUGAUUGGGGCGAUAUAAAAAGAUUAAAUAUCUUUUUAUGAAAAAUUUAAUUUGAUCCGUUAUUAGCGAUUGGAUGAAAAAAAUACUCUAGGGAUAACAGCGUAAUAAUUUUGGAUAGUUCAUAUAGAUAAAAUAGUUUGCGACCUCGAUGUUGGAUUAGGAUUCUUUUUUGGUGAAGAAAUUAAAAUGAAGAAGUUUGUUCAACUUUUAAAUUCC